rnacentral:misc_RNA from 1 species
CCCAUCUUUUUAGAAGCAGCGCAAUCCAUAUUCUCCCUACAAUGUGUGUUCGCCUAUCGGUUGUUUUGUUUUUCACCUUUCUCGAGUCCAUAUCCAUGCGCUUCAAGGAGCCAAACGCAUGAAUAUGUUGCCUGUAUGUGCAUGACAUACGCGGAAGAGAAAAGAGGCAUUAACUAUAAAAGCUUAAAGUGGUCUGAGUGGUAGUUGAGUUGCACUUCCUUGCUCUUUGCAUCCAUCGAUUAAUAUUUCAGAGACAGCACAUUAAUUUUCCUUACCAAAUUCCCUCAAUUGCACCCUCUCUUCUUUUAAAGAAAGCAAUAAUUAUCUUGUUCAUUCCAAGAAAAAGGAAAAUGAGAAAAGCCCCUAUGUAUCAACUAUCCCUCUGAAGAAACCCUAACCCUGCAAGAUCUUGAUUGUAUUACUUGCUCUCUUGAAAUGAAUGCACAUUCCUUCUACAACAAAACAAAUAGCAUAAGACAAACGAUAGGGUCGGAAGAUAGC